CCUUCUCCUUUCUCCUUUGUCGCUCACUCAUAUCUUCCAGUGAACACACACACACACACACAAACAAACCACAGCAUAUAUAUAUUUGUAAGCCGAAUCUUAUCACUAGGCCAUGGCGGAUGUACAAAUGGCGGGUGAAACUGAGACGUUUGCUUUCCAGGCGGAGAUUAAUCAGCUCUUGAGUCUCAUCAUCAACACUUUCUAUAGUAACAAGGAAAUCUUCCUUCGUGAGCUCACCAGCAACGCUUCUGACGCUUUGGAUAAGAUCAGAUUCGAGAGCUUAACGGACAAGAGCAAGUUGGAAUCGCAGCCGGAGCUCUUCAUUAGGAUUGUCCCUGAUAAAGUUAAUAGGACUCUGUCCAUUAUCGAUAGUGGCGUCGGCAUGACCAAAUCAGAUAUGGUAAACAAUUUGGGAACAAUUGCAAGGUCUGGGACAAAGGAGUUUAUGGAGGCAUUGCAGGCUGGAGCUGAUGUUAGCAUGAUUGGGCAGUUUGGUGUGGGUUUCUACUCUUCCUACCUCGUUGCUGAGAAGGUUGUUGUGACGACCAAGCACAAUGAUGAUGAACAAUAUGUCUGGGAAUCUCAAGCAGGUGGAUCCUUCACUGUGACAAGGGAUGUCAGCGGAGAACCACUGGGCAGGGGCACUAAAGUCACCCUCUACCUCAAGGAGGAUCAGCUGGAAUACUUGGAAGAGAGGAGGAUUAAGGACCUUGUGAAGAAGCAUUCGGAAUUCAUUAGCUACCCAAUUUAUCUCUUGGUUGAGAAGACAACUGAGAAAGAGAUCAGUGAUGAUGAAGAUGAGGAAACCAAGAAGGACGAGGAAGGAGAAGUUGAAGAAGUAGAUGAGGAGAAAGACAAGGAUAAAAAGAAAAAGAAGAAGAUAAAGGAGGUGACAAAUGAAUGGCAGCAAAUUAACAAGCAGAAACCUCUCUGGCUUCGGAAGCCUGAAGAGGUUACCAAGGAGGAGUAUGCAGCCUUCUACAAGAGCCUAACAAAUGAUUGGGAGGAUCAUCUUGCUGUGAAACACUUCUCUGUUGAAGGACAGUUGGAGUUCAAGGCUAUUCUGUUUGUUCCAAAGAGGGCACCCUUUGAUCUCUUUGAUACACGGAAGAAGUUGAACAACAUCAAGCUCUAUGUCAGGAGGGUGUUCAUCAUGGAUAAUUGUGAGGAGCUCAUUCCUGAAUACCUUGGAUUCGUUAAAGGCGUGGUGGAUUCGGAUGAUCUCCCACUAAAUAUAUCUCGUGAGACGCUCCAACAGAACAAAAUCCUGAAGGUCAUCAGGAAGAAUAUUGUCAAGAAGUGCAUUGAGAUGUUCUUUGAAAUUGCAGAGAACAAAGAGGAUUAUGCUAAGUUCUAUGACGCCUUCUCCAAAAAUAUCAAAUUGGGUAUUCAUGAAGACAGCCAAAACAGGGCAAAGCUUGCUGAUCUUCUCAGGUAUUACUCCACAAAGAGUGGGGAUGAGUUGACCAGCUUGAAGGACUAUGUCACAAGGAUGAAGGAAGGGCAGCAGGACAUUUAUUAUAUAACCGGCGAGAGCAAGAAAGCUGUUGAGAAUUCUCCAUUCUUGGAAAAGCUUAAAAGGAAAGGAUGCGAGGUGCUUUUCAUGGUUGAUGCCAUUGACGAAUAUGCUGUUGCACAGUUGAAAGAGUAUGAUGGUAAAAAACUUGUUUCUGCAACAAAGGAAGGUUUAAAGCUCGAUGAGUCUGAGGAAGAGAAAGCAGCAAGGAGGAGAAGAAAAAGUCAUUUGAGAAUCUUUGCAAAGUAAUGAAGGAUAUUCUUGGAGAGAGAAUUGAGAAAGUGGUGGUUUCUGACAGGGUUGUUGAUUCUCCUUGCUGCUUGGUCACUGGGGAAUAUGGCUGGACAGCAAACAUGGAGAGGAUUAUGAAGGCUCAAGCAUUAAGGGAUACCAGCAUGAGCGCUUACAUGUCAAGCAAGAAAACAAUGGAGAUCAACCCUGACAAUGGAAUCAUUAAGGAGCUUAGGAAGAGAGCCGAGGAAGAUAAGAAUGACAAAUCAGUUAGAGACUUGGUGCUGCUGCUUUAUGAGACUGCUUUGUUGACCUCUGGUUUCAGCCUUGAUGAUCCAAACCAAUUUGGUUCAAGGAUCCAUAGGAUGUUGAAAUUGGGGCUUAGCAUCGAGGAAAAUGAGACCGAUGAUGACGCUGACAUGCCUGAAUUGAAGGAGGAAACCAAUGAGGAGAGUAAAAUGGAGGAAGUUGACUGAAAGAGAGUUGUUUGCGGAUGUUAGUAGACGGUGGAGUUCAUGCAACAGUGGCUUUUGUGGUAGAGUUGUUCUUUUCUUAAAGCCCCCCUGUAGUUUCUUUAGUAGCAUUAUGGUUACUCGACUAGCUCUGUGCUUUAAGUUGUCCUCUGUUCUUGCUGUGGCUGAUGCUACUAUAUUUCUGACAUGAUUACCCAUUGUAAUAUAUAAUAUAAUAUAAAAUUAUAAAUGCGUGUUGUGGGUUUGUGCUGAA